rnacentral:rRNA from 1 species
CAAACGACUCUCGGCAACGGAUAUCUCGGSUCUCGCAUCGAUGAAGAACGUAGCGAAAUGCGAUACUUGGUGUGAAUUGCAGAAUCCCGUGAACCAUCGAGUUUUKGANCGCAAGUUGCGCCCGAAGCCAUUAGGCCGAGGGMACGUCUGCCUGGGCGUCACAC